rnacentral:misc_RNA from 1 species
AAGAACGUGUCGGUAGCUCGGUUCAGGUGUGUCGGAGUGCGUAGUGCGCAGCGCGGUAGUCCGGAGGGUGUAUAAUAGCUUGUGGCUGGAUUAAUCACAUUAAGCCGCCACCACGCCGCACCAUCCGUGCCAGAUUUUCACUUCGGCUCAUUUGCGUUAAUUGUGCGCGCGAUUGUCACUCAGGCUUGAAUAAACAGCAGAGCGGCGGCAAGGAUUAGCUAACAAAUUAUGUGAGGAGCUAAACGGAGUCGGCGGUGGUUCUGAGCCUCCAGUCAGUGGAGUAGGGAGUGGCAAGUGGACGGGUGGUUGCGGACUCCUGCGCCAGCCAUCAGGCUUCCCAUUACUAGGGGUUGCGCCGCCCAACUACUUACUGUCUGACCACCUCGGCACACUCGCCAAAACAAACAACCAUCUUUUCUAAUGGUCACAAAUUUUCAACAACCUACCUGCCCAAGCGUACAAUGUGCAGCAGUUUGAAUAAGUCCGAUGUCGCAGCAACGUGUACGGGUAACGGGUGUAACGCGAGCUGUGCGAACAAGAGAGUAAAUUAGUGUAGUUGAAAGUCUACACUAAGAACUAGGGAUGUGUGACAUUUGGGUGGAUUUUUUCGUGUAGUGUUUAAUGACUUAUUAAAAGUGAAAUAAUAUUCCAAGUGCCAAACAGUGGUGUCCAUUAAAUGUAGGUGAAACGCAAUAUUAAACUUUACAAGGAUUUAGAUGAAGUAUUGAGCGUAACGGACGUGUUCUUAUCUACAUUAAAUGCAUGUAAUUUAGUUGUAACAAACCUUGUCUUGUCUGGUCUACGCUAUCUUUAAGCGUUUAGUUAAAACUAUUUCAUUUGAUAAUUGUCAAUUUUAAACUGAAAUAAAGGUAUCAUUCUGUGGCUAGCGAAUAUUAUUUAUGUAAAUACGAAUAGACUUGUAUACGCUAACUUAUUUCUCUAUCAUAAGUGAAAACUGUUUGAAUUCUAAAUCUUAUAAGUAAGCCACUAACAAUAAGACAUUCCUGAUACGAGCGAGCGACUGCGUUGUGAUAAGAAAUAGUAUAGGUUUAACAGUAAUCUAGUCAAAUUAAAGUCAUAGCCAAUUUGAUUCAAUUGAGAUUGUGUUAUUAUAAAUUAUUUAAUUUAUCAGAGAUUUAUUUAUAGUUCAUAGUAGGCUAUAUUUUAUGACGUUGUUCCCGUAUCUUUCAAUAUUGAAAUUGUAGGUGAACGAUGUUGUAAAUAUGUAUGUAAAAUUGUUGUACAUAUGUAUUAUGCAUUGUAGUGUUGUACCCUGAAUGUAUGUAACGACGACGACUAAGUGGAGGGUGUUUUUAAUAAAGAAAUUAAUAAAUCGA